ensembl:rRNA 5S_rRNA 5S ribosomal RNA
GCCUACAACCAUGCUUCCCUGAAUGUGCCUGAUCUUGUCUGAUCUCAGAAGCUAAGCAGUGUUGGGCCUGGUUAGUACUUGGAGGGGAGACUGCCUGGGAAUACUGGGCGCUAUAGGCU